rnacentral:rRNA from 1 species
CGGAGGAGCUAGCGUUAAGUCGGAAUUACUGGGGCGUAAAGCGCACGUAGGCGGCUUUGUAAGUAAGAGGUGAAAGCCCAGAGCUCAACUCUGGAAUUGCCUUUAGACUGCAUCGCUUGAAUCAUGGAGAGGUCAGUGGAAUUCCGAGUGUAGAGGUGAAAUUCGUAGAUAUUCGGAAGAACACCAGUGGCGAAGGCGGCUGACUGGACAUGUAUUGACGCUGAGGUGCGAAAGCGUGGGGAGCAAACAGGAUU